rnacentral:tRNA from 1 species
GCGGGUGUGGCGAAAUUGGCAGACGCACUAGACUUAGGAUCUAGCACUUCGGUGUGCAGGUUCGACUCCUGUCACCCGCACCA